AGCGAACGCUGGCGGCGUACUUAACACAUGCAAGUCGAACGGGGAUCGUGGGGUGGGCAACCACUCCGCGGUUCUAGUGGCGUACGGGUGAGUAACACGUGGGUAACCUGCCCUCGAGCCUGGGAUACCCCCUCGAAAGGGGGCGUAAUACCGGAUACGCUCCUCGGGUCGCGAGAUCAGAGGAGGAAAGGUGGCGCAAGCUGCCGCUCUUGGAGGGGCUCGCGGCCUAUCAGCUAGUUGGCGAGGUAACGGCUCACCAAGCGACGACGGGUAGCCGGCCUGAGAGGGCGACCGGUCACACGGGGACUGAGACACGGCCCCGACUCCUACGGGAGGCAGCAGUGGGGAAUUUUCCGCAAUGGGCGAAAGCCUGACGGAGUGACGCCGCGUGUGGGACGAAGGCC
rnacentral:rRNA from 1 species